rnacentral:tRNA from 1 species
GAGUAGCUCAGUUGGAUAGAGUGUUUGGCUACGAACCAAAAGGUCGGGGGUUCGAAUCCCUUCAGCC